AUGAUAAUGGUGACGGGCAUCCAAGAGGAAAUGAAGAAGGCAGAGGAGCACGUACUGAACUUCAAGGGUUCCAUGAAGGGCCGAAGAGUUAUUCACCGGGAUAGGAUUGCUAGCGCAAGACUUCUGUACACAGACUACUUCACAAUGGAGCCAACAUACCAUGAAGGUUUCUUUCAAUGUCGCUUUCGGAUGAGCAGAGAUUUGUUCUUGCGCAUCGUGACUGUUGUGGAGAAGCCUGAUGAUGACUUCAAGCCAGGGAAGGAUUAUUACGAAAAACUUUAUUUCCCCCCUCUGCAGAAACGCACGGCUGCUCUUAGGAUGCUUGAUUAUGGUAAGGCUACACAUGCCACUGAUAUUGAUAUCCGGAUGGGAGAGACCAUGGUCUUGAUCACCACAGUGCAAUUUGCACACACUAUGGUGAAGAUGCUUGGAGCAGAGUACCCGAGAGAGGCAACUAUGAAGUACAUAGAAAAGGCAAUUGGAGCAUUAAGAGGAUUCUCAUGUAUACUCGGUUUAGUUGAUUGCAUGCACGGACAAUGGAAGAACUGCCUUGUGUGGGAAGUACCAAGGUCAUGUCAAAUAAGCCAUCAUCAUACUUGA
rnacentral:rRNA from 1 species